UUAUUUCGCCCCGAAAGAAAGGGAGCUAUAUUUUUUAGGGGGUUAGUUCUCCUUUCUCCCUGUUGCAUAAGGGGGGGGAUAAAACAAUAUAGUAGUGAAAGACUAACAUCUUUUCAGAUAUCUGGAUUAAAAAUAAAAGUAUUUAGUACAUUUAACCCAGUUUUAUAGUUUUAAGAUUAUAAAUAAAAAGGAUUAUAAAUAUUUGGUUUAUAUCUUGUAUGAAGAAGAAUACUCUCUCUCUCUCUCCAAUAUAAAAAUUUAUUUUUAGAACCAUCUUGUCCAUUAUUUUUAGUAUUUCCCAAAUAAAUAGGGUAAAUAUAUACUGUUUAAAUUAGUAGUACUUUCCCCUAACUCUUUUAAAGGAACUCGGCAAAUAUUUUGGUCAACUGUUUAACAAAAACAUAGCUUAUUGAUAUUUUAUAAUAAGUGAGCUCUGCCCAGUGUGCCCCUAAGGGUGCAUCAACGGCCGCAGUACUCUGACUGUGCUAAGGUAGCAUAAUAAAUUGGCUUUUAAUUGAAGUCUAGGAUAAAAGAGUUUAUGGCUAUAUGCUGUCUUUAUUAGAUUGAUAUAAACUUACUUAAUAGGUGAAAAUGCCUAUACCCUUUUUAUUAGACAAGAAGACCCUAAGAGUUUGAUUGUUUUUGUUGGGGCGACAAGGUAACAAAUAAAUAACUUACCCUGAACUUUAUUCUCAAUCUUCUUUACAUACACACCAUUUCAAAUAAAUAUAAAGAAUAAGCUACCUUAGGGAUAACAGCAUAAUAUUAUCUCUAUGUUUAUGACCUCGAUGUUGGAUUAGGGGAGCUGCAUAUUAGACGUAUGUUUGUUGGGUUCUGUUCGAACGGUUUUCCCCUACAUGAUCUGAGUUCAGACCGGCGUAAGCCAGGUCAGUU
rnacentral:rRNA from 1 species